GUGACGGCUCGCGAUAAGGAGCCGGCUCGCGUCGUUCACGUCAAAGACCCGGCUCUAAGAGCCAUUUCAACGAAGAACACUGAUAGCUUUUCAGCAUGAACUCCCACACUAAACGAAGAGCAACGUUUAAGCUAACUUUCACUACAGAAUUUUAAAGGGUUACUGUUAUUUAAAAAAUAAUUGCUUCAGCCGCUAUAUAAGGCAGAAUGUUAGCCUGUGAUAUCAUGGUUUCUGUGUUCCUCGUAUUUGCAUGUCGCGCUGCCUCAGUGGUUUCUGCGGUGUCUUGUCACACAAACGAGUAUGCAACAAGGGAUGGGCAGUGCUGCCCGAUGUGCCAAGAAGAUAAGAAAACAUUUCUAGAAGUAAACCCGCCCACAUUAUGAACAGCCUCCACAGACAGUGGAUGCUCUGACUGCAGCAGUGGAACAUUAACACCUUGUCACUCACGCACUAAGUGACACUUCAGAGCAGACAUGGACACGUGAUUUCUUCCAGUGCAACAACUUUUUCAUUUUUUUCCCCCUCUGUACCUUCCAGAUGUGAGUCACUAAACCAGAUGAUAACUCCAGGGCUUAUGCUCAAUGUUGGAAACAAAGGGGAAAAAAUUGUUACCAUCACUGGCUGUGUGGUGGUUUUAGUUAUGAUUGCCAUAGCUGUAGUGAUUUUAACUAUUGUCAUUUUCAAAAGAUGUAUCUAUGUGAGGAUGUCAAAGAUCACUGAUAUCAUGAUUUAGAUGAUAUUUUCUGUCAAGUGAUAACUUUUUUAGACAAAAAUAAAACUCAAAACAAUAUAGGAAAUGAAAGUAUUUAUAUUUUUUAUUUUAUUUCUGAGAAGGAAAGAAAAGAAAAUGAAGCACUGAAUGGGUCAAAGCAGCAGACAAGACAACAGUGAAAUGUUCACUGUGGACUGAUCUUUUUUAAAAAGCAGCUAAAAACUCAACUUUUUAAACUUGUAUUUGGGUAAAGUUUUGUUUUAAUGUCUUAGAAUUUUGUAAUGAAGCACUUUGCGAUAUUUAGAGACGAUCAGAUUUUUACUGCAGCAUUAUGGAACAAAGAAUAGCAGUUUCUAAUGUUUUUAUCUUUGCUAUACAGAUUUUCCUUGGAACUGGUUGUGGAUGUUUGUGUAGAUGAAAGUUCAUAGUCAACACGUUCUCAGUCCCAAAGCGUAACAUUUUACGUUGCCAUAGUUAUCCUUGUAAUGUAUUUAUGGGGAAUAUUUCAUAAAAAAGGUUGACCGCAUAGAGACAAUAAAGAAAACCUUCAACAAACUUGUGUAAAGCAGACUGUAGUUCUUCAGAUUCAUGGACACUAAAAAGUUUGCAUCUUUUUAUGAAGUUAAGGAGCCAACAUGUUAGUUGGUAUCACAGACAGCUGGUUUUAUUUCAUUUCCUGCACCCUGACAUCUCCAGUUUCACAGCCUUGCACUUCCGGCCUUCUCGGUCUUCGAAUGACCCGGCCCACGUAGACCGCGAAGGGUGGUGUCUGUCGGGGAUACCUACUUUGGCACGACACCAGGUCCUGCAAGGAUGCGGUUGAGGGUUUGGGACACAGCUAUUAGGUCCUACGAUUUCCUUCAAGCCCUCUCCCCUUUUUUGUCUUUGUCUAAACGAAGUUGAUCCCCAUGUGCCCUCAAAUGUCAUAAAAUGGCUUGUUUUCAGUUUCUGUUUUAAGCCACGAAAACCGUUGAUGCUCAUUCUUUCCAACAAUGAAUAGAUUUCCUGUUUACACCCACAUCAAAACCCAAAAGCGAUCAUUGCUGUUAGAUUUAUAUGGAAGUUUGGUGAAAUAGAGCCUACAAAUGUGUUAUAAGGCAGCGUGUUAGGAUGUGAUAUCUAGUGAUGUGCGAUACCACUGAUUUCCUUU